rnacentral:tRNA from 1 species
GGAGAGAUGUCCGAGUGGUUUAAGGAGCACGCUUGGAAAGCGUGUGUGGGGGUAACUCCACCGUGGGUUCGAAUCCCACUCUCUCCG